AGCGUCCUCCAAAAAUUGCAAAUGCCUCCGGCUAGCCAAUGAGGGGAGCUCGGACCGUACCAAAGUGGGAACCGGUUUAGGGGUGCUCCUUAAAGCUUUCUCAAAGAAACUUGGCAAUAUUAAAGGAACUCGGAAUUUCACAACAUGGAAGGGACAACUGUUUAAACCCAUUAUUACAGUACUAUUGAAGAGACUGUAAAGCUUUAAAUGUGCCCUUUUACAAAAGCCCAAACGUAACCGUGUGUUCAGAGUUAAUUAAUGGAUUCGUCCGCGCCAACAUUGAAAGUUUCGUGAAAGUGAACUCCAAUGCCGUUAGCUUGCUAUUGGUUUACUUGUGUUUAGAUGCUUCGACACAGCUGUUUGAACGUCGAACUUUAUUUGCUUUACUCAGAGUUGGUUUUACAGAACCGUCAACAGCGUUUCCUCUGCAGCACGGAGUGGAAGCCCUCUCCUACUGCUGCUGCCUCAGAAGAAUGACCGACCGCUGUGUGUGUCGGACUCAAACCUGUGACUGUGAGCACCUGAAUCUGUGUAUAUGUAUGUUGGUCUGCAGCCUGCCCUGACUGCUCCUUUAAACAAGCACCAGUGUGUUCAGACUGUAAUGAGCAAGAGCAGCUCAGUGUGGAAGAUGUUAACAAAAGAAAUAUUGAAUGUAGAAG
rnacentral:lncRNA from 1 species